AUUAUGGCAAUUUUGAGUUUGAUAAUGUCGCUGUCACUAUGCGCCGUCGUCAAGUUUCUGUUUGAAUUUGCUUCCAUAUUCGGUAUUUCCGCAUUUAUUUUAUGUGUUGUGUUCUAGUUUGUUCAAGACUCAAAAACCUAACUUUCAUUAAAGAUUUAUUAGGAUUUUGAGAUGCCUUGCUGUAUUGAGAGAGGAACAGAUAAAUGCUAGGCUAUGCUAUCAUUGAGUUUCCAGAUGGUAUUUAACUUGUACUGAAACUUUGGGUUUGUGAUGAUGCCUGUGGCCGAACUAUGCGAAUCAACUUUUAAACAUGAACAAAACAAUAGCUGCUUACAGGACACAGAUUCGUAAUGGCUCAAUGUGAUCCGUGCCUGAAGAUAUGUGACUGUGUGAAGAAGGCGAGGGACAGGGACGGAGUGUUCUACGCGCUGUGCUGCAAGUGUACGGAAAAACAUCAAUAUUUCCGGCGAUUCUCUGGCAAACGGAGGAUCGCGUAUGCCGAUUGCGAGCACAACGCAAGGCCGGACGGGCGGAGUGUGUUUCUCUGCCGUUACGACCCACGCCACGUCGUACAAUACAACAUCGGUGCACACGAGGUUCCGUUGCUCGUCAAAUAAAUCGAACAACGCUCCGUCCUCGCCUCGUCCCGCCUAUCGUCGCGAGCCACUUCAUGAGUGUUGGGAUGAGGUCUGCGAAGACACCGGCCACGAUCACAGCCGGCGAUAGACAGCUCCCGUAUAUGAUUAGGGUUGUUUAAUUUCUCCAGUUCUUACUAAGCAUUUUUGUAGUUUUAGCUUUUGUUUUUUAAUAAAUAAUGUUUUUUGACAAGAUAAAUGUGUGCUUUUUCCAACUAGAACCAUGACAAAAGUCUGUGAUCACGGUGAUCAGAACUGUACUCCUUUGGCACGUUGUUAGGUUAAAAAAAUUAUAUUUACGUUAUAAAAUAUGAACACUUGGUUUAAUUCACAUAAAUAAAUCUGUAUUUAUUUUACAGUUUCGAUGACUCGGUGUGAUCCGUGUCUGAAUGAGGCAGAUCAGAUACUAUGUUGUUUAUUAGCCAUAACUGUCAAAUUACUACAUUGAAAAUUGUUUUAGUCUCUGUUACUGGUUUAUUUGGAUUAGGCAUGAGAUACUAAUCUAUUUCUUUUUCACGCUUAAAUUUUUGUUUAGAACGUAUAUUGAAUAUAGGUACGGUAUUGUGGAGUUUUACUGGAUUAAGUAAUUGACACAUACAAUUCUGUAUUCCUAUUAUUUGGGUUAGGUAUGAGAUACUAAUCUAUUUUUUUUUCACGGUUGAAUUUUGGUUUAAAACUAUAUUGAAUAUAGUUACGGUAUUGUGGAGUUUUACUGGAUUAAGUAAUUGACAUAUACAAUUCUGUAUUCCUAUUAUUUGGGUUAGGUAUGAGAUACUAAUCUAUUUUUUUUUCACGGUUGAAUUUUGGUUUAAAACUAUAUUGAAUAUAGUUACGGUAUUGUGGAGUUUUACUGGAUUAAGUAAUUGACAUAUACAAUUCUGUAUUCCUAUUAUUUGGGUUAGGUAUGAGAUACUAAUCUAUUUUUUUUCACGGUUGAAUUUUGGUUUAAAACUAUAUUGAAUAUAGUUACGGUAUUGUGGAGUUUUACUGGAUUAAGUAAUUGACAUAUACAAUUCUGUAUUCCUUUUACAGUUUCAAUGACUCAGUGUGAUCCGUGCUUGAAGAUUUGUGACUGCGUGAAGAAGGUGAGGGACUGGGACGGAGAGUUCUAUGCGCUGUGGUGCAAGUAUGCUGCAAAACACCCUUAUUUCUGGCGAUUCUCUGGCAAACGGAGGAUCGCGUAUACCGAUUGCGAGCACAGCGCAAGACCGGACAAUCGAACAACGCUCCGUCCUCGCCUCGUCCCGCCCAUCGUCGUGAGCCACUUCCUGAGUGUUGGGAUAAGGACUGUGAAGACGUCGGCCACGAUCACAGCCGGCGAUAGACAGCUCCCGUAUAUGAUUAGGGUUGUUUAAUUUCAUAAGUUCCUACUAAGCAUUUUUGUUGUUUUAGCUUUUGUUUUUUUAAUAAAUAAUGUUUUUUGACAA
rnacentral:misc_RNA from 1 species